rnacentral:tRNA from 1 species
GAGGAUAUAGCUCAAAUGGUAGAGUGCAUGCUUGGCAUGCACAAGGUCCUGGGUUCAAUCCCCAGUACCUCCU